UGGGGAAUUUUGGACAAUGGGCGAAAGCCUGAUCCAGCAAUGCCGCGUGUGUGAAGAAGGCCUUCGGGUUGUAAAGCACUUUUGUCCGGAAAGAAAUCCUUGGCUCUAAUACAGUCGGGGGAUGACGGUACCGGAAGAAUAAGCACCGGCUAACUACGUGCCAGCAGCCGCGGUAAUACGUAGGGUGCAAGCGUUAAUCGGAAUUACUGGGCGUAAAGCGUGCGCAGGCGGUUUGCUAAGACCGAUGUGAAAUCCCCGGGCUCAACCUGGGAACUGCAUUGGUGACUGGCAGGCUAGAGUAUGGCAGAGGGGGUAGAAUUCCACGUGUAGCAGUGAAAUGCGUAGAGAUGUGAGGAAUACCGAUGGCGAAGGCAGCCCCUGGGCCAAUACUGACGCUCAUGCACGAAAGCGUGGGGAGCAAACAGGAUUAGAUGCCCUGGUAGUCCACGCCCUAAACGAUGUCAACUAGUUGUUGGGGAUUCAUUUCCUUAGUAACGUAGCUAACGCGUGAAGUUGACCGCCUGGGGAGUACGGUCGCAAGAUUAAAACUCAAAUGAAUUGACGGGGUCAUAGCUGUUUCCU
rnacentral:rRNA from 1 species